UACGUAGGGGGCAAGCGUUGUCCGGAUUCAUUGGGCGUAAAGAGCGUGUAGGCGGCCAGGUAGGUCGGUUGUGAAAACUGGAGGCUCAACCUUCAGACGUCGACCGAAACCAUCUGGCUAGAGUCCGGGAGAGGAGAGUGGAAUUCCUGGUGUAGCGGUGAAAUGCGCAGAUAUCAGGAGGAACACCAAUAGCGAAGGCAGCUCGCUGGGACGUAACUGACGCUGAGACGCGAAAGCGUGGGGAGCAAACAGG
rnacentral:rRNA from 1 species